rnacentral:rRNA from 1 species
GACGAACGCUGGCGGCGUGCUUAACACAUGCAAGUCGAACGGAAAGGCCCUGCUUUUGUGGGGUGCUCGAGUGGCGCACGGGUGAGUAACACGUGAGUAACCUUCCCUUGACUUUGGGAUAACUUCAGGAAACUGGGGCUAAUACCGGAUAGGAGCUCCUGCUGCAUGGUGGUGGUUGGAAAGUUUAGGCGGUUGGGGAUGGACUCGCGGCUUAUCAGCUUGUUGGUGGGGUAGUGGCUUACCAAGGCUUUGACGGGUAGCCGGCCUGAGAGGGUGACCGGCCACAUUGGGACUGAGAUACGGCCCAGACUCCAACGGGAGGCAGCGGGGGGGAAUAUGGCACAAUGGGCGGGAGCCUGAUGCAGCAACGCCGCGUGCGGGAUGACGGCCUUGGGGGUGUAAACCGCUUUCGGCUGUGACGAAGCGGGAGUGACGGUAAUGGGUAAAGAAGCACCGGCUAACUACGUG